AUUGCAAUUAUUAUUAUUUUUAAAGUAAAAAGUCAAAUAGCGCGCACGCAGCGCGCGCUUGUAAUGUUCUAGUGUUACAAAAAAUAAAUUAACGAACCUACCCCAUCUACGCAUUUCUACGAUUUUAACAAUUUUAAUAAUAUUACGUUACUUAAGUUCAUUCAUUUAUUAUGUCAGAAAAUGUCAGAAGAGAUAAUUUCAAGAUGUCUAAAACUUUACUUGACUGCCCUCAAAUUAUUUUUUUCUUUCUUUUAGCUAUAACAUUUGUCCGAUUUUAAUGAAAAUUGGAGAUAAGUACCUUAAUUUAUAUUAAAAGAAAUGGUUUCAUGAUUUUACUCAAACUGUUUGUUUUUCACAUUAAGUACACAAAUAAAACAAUUUGCGUACCUAUCUUUGCUGCAAAUUUGUCCCAGUCUUCUCUAUACAUAAUAAAAAUAUUUAAAAAAUAUUUUAUAAAUUUAUUUUUUGAUAUAUAAUAGGUUCUUUUUUAUACAUUAAAGUAAAAUUUAAAGUGUUACAAUACCUAAAAUUUAGAAUAUAUAUUAAAAUAUUAAAUGUUAAGAUUCAAAUGAGUGUAAUUUUUUAUCUUGUUUUUACAAGUACGUAUGAGUAAGUACGCAUAAGUAGGAUGAAAAAUUUCUAACAAUUGCUUUUGCGUUUUGUACCAAAAUGUACAAAUGCGAGGACAAUCCCUAAGAUCAAUAAUGUUAGAAAAAAAUUAAUUUAUUUAUAAGUAAAGCCCGUAAGCAUUCUGUUUACUUCAAAGUAUCCACGUAAAUAUGUAAAAUAAAAAAUUUCUACAUGUAGAGAAAUUUUAUAGUAAAGAUUGUUAUAUAUAAGCAGUAAGCGUAGUAUAAAGGAAAAAACUAUAAAAAUUUUUACUAUGCUUUUGCAUGAAAUUGCUGUAAUAUUUACACUACUUGUGGAAUAAUUCUUUGAAAUUUCUUCUUAUAAUAUAUAGCUACGUACAUAAUAAUUUUUGGUAUAAAGUUUUCUCCGUGUAACGACUGUUUUUGCAUUUUGGGCUAAAAUGUACAAGUCUGUGGACAAUGAUUAAGGUCAAUAAAGUUAGAAAAAAAAGGAUUUAUUAACAACCGAAGCUCGGAAGCAUUUUAUUUCUAAAUGUUCGCGCAAUCUGAAUUAAGACGAAAAACUUCUAACGACUGCUUCUAUGUAUAAUGUACACGUGAGCCGCGAUGUUCAAAAGAAAUAACGUACAAAAAAAUAAGUUGUUAAAAGUCAAAUGCUAGAAGGAUUUAUUUAGUCCGAAGUACUCAUUUGUCUUGAAUAUUUAUAAGUUUAAUUUGUUUUUGUAUAAAAAAAAUUAUGUAAAUUUAAUGACUGUAAAGCCAAAGUGCACGCAAUGUUAUGUUCUAGAUAAAAAAAAAAGAUUUCUGAAAACAAAAGUUAGAUAAGCGUGAUAUGCGAUGUAGAUUAAGCCGGAAACAUUUGGACUUUAUUACAUAGUUCUUAUUAAUAUACAUUAUUUUGAUGUUAUAUAAACUUUUAUCAACAUUAAAAAAUCUUUUAUUUUUCUUUUAUAUUGAAUCCCUUGUAUUAAGUUUUUAUUUCUUUUUACAUUUAUGUUAAAUUUGUAUUACAUCAUAUUUGUAUACAGGGAUCUUGUACUUUCAUAACAAAAUAUUUUAUGGAAUUUUUAAAAUAUUUUAGGCUUUGCAUCACAUACGUUGGAUUUUUAAAUUUUUAUAUCUGGAUUUUGUGAUUCAGUCAAAAUAUGUGCAAGUGAUUAAACUAGAUUUCUAAAAAAAAACAAAAUUCUACUAAAAAAAAUUAGACAUUAAAAGAUUAAAUAUUUGCAAAACACAAGAUAUUUUGUCUAAUUUUUAUUAUUUGCUGUUAAAUUGUAUUAAACAUUGUCCAAUUUCUGUAUCAUCAUAUUUUAUUAAUAAACUUUAAAUCUUUGCCAGAAUUUUGUCAAUAUCGCUAAAUUUUAUCAUUGACAAUAUAUAUAGUAUAAGUACUUCAUGCAUAAUCUGUUCUCGACACAGACUAUUGGUUGUGCGAAUAUGGAUUGAUUUAAAUAUGUCAAAUGUCAAUUGUCAAAUUGCUAGAUGUUAGUUUCUCGAAUUACUUCUCGAAUAAGCCUAGUAUAUGAACAUCUGAAGAAAAUACGUUCUUUUCAAAACAAUUUUGAAUUAAAAUGUGGCGAGCUUUAUUUAAAAAAGAAAUAAAAACACAUACAAUUAUUUUCUUGUCGGAAAUACAACUUUUUCAAAACAAAAUCGAAAGGAAAUAUUUAUAUUUGACUAAUUAUAUAUAAAUAGACUGUAACUUUGGUCGAGAGAUAAUAGCCCAGACAACACAAAGUUUAAAAUCGGAUCAUACGAUGUCUUGAAGAGUGAUAAGGGAUGCCAAGUGGCUGCACCUACGCAUAUACGAACUUGUUCCAAAGACAAAAUGUUGGUAUUUUUGGCUGUCUUAUGUCACCCUUUUUGCAAAAAUAGACAUUGCUAAGAUGCGGAGAA
rnacentral:lncRNA from 1 species